UUCCAAAGUGUUGAGUUCAGUUCAGGGUGGCUUCCCUGCUCUGUUAAUUAAACUUUGGAACAUUGACACUGGCUAGGGAAAAUGAUUGGGUAGAAAAUACUAUUCUAUUCAUGUAUCCCCAGCCUACAAAA
ensembl:snoRNA